ACACACACACACACACACACACGCACACGCACACACUCUCUCCCCUCUGAUGGCUACCCUGAUAGCACAUGGCCCUUGGUGUGUGUGUGUGUGUGUGUCUGUGUUUGUGUGU